rnacentral:rRNA from 1 species
UACAGAGGUCUCAAGCGUUGUUCGGAUUCAUUGGGCGUAAAGGGUGCGUAGGUGGCGCGCUAAGUCAGGUGUGAAAUUUCGGAGCUUAACUCCGAAACUGCAUUUGAUACUGGCGUGCUUGAGGACUGGAGAGGAGACUGGAAUUCAUGGUGUAGCAGUGAAAUGCGUAGAGAUCAUGAGGAAGACCUGUGGCGAAGGCGGGUCUCUGGACAGUUCCUGACACUGAGGCACGAAGGCCAGGGGAGCAAAAGGG